GAGUUUGAUCGUGGCUCAGGACGAACGCUGGCGGCAUGCCUAAUACAUGCAAGUCGAACGCACGGAGUUGAAAAGCUUGCUUUUCGACCAAGUGAGUGGCGGACGGGUGAGUAACACGUGGGUAACCUGCCCAUAAGAGGGGGAUAACAUUCGGAAACGGAUGCUAAUACCGCAUAUUUCAAGUGACCGCAUGGUCGCUUGAUGAAAGGUGGCUUCGGCUACCACUUAUGGAUGGACCCGCGGUGCAUUAGUUAGUUGGUGAGGUAAUGGCUCACCAAGACCAUGAUGCAUAGCCGACCUGAGAGGGUGAUCGGCCACACUGGGACUGAGACACGGCCCAGACUCCUACGGGAGGCAGCAGUAGGGAAUCUUCCGCAAUGGACGAAAGUCUGACGGAGCAAUGCCGCGUGAGUGAAGAAGGUUUUCGGAUCGUAAAACUCUGUUGUUAGAGAAGAACAAGGAUGAGAGUAACUGCUCAUCCCCUGACGGUAUCUAACCAGAAAGCCAC
rnacentral:rRNA from 1 species